rnacentral:rRNA from 1 species
UCGGGAAUUUUGGGCAAUGGGCGAAAGCCUGACCCAGCAACGCCGCGUGAAGGAUGAAGUCUCUCGGGAUGUAAACUUCGUAAGAAUAGGAAGAAUAAAUGACGGUACUAUUUGUAAGGUCCGGCUAACUACGUGCCAGCAGCCGCGGUAAUACGUAGGGACCAAGCGUUGUUCGGAUUUACUGGGCGUAAAGGGCGCGUAGGCGGCGUGGUAAGUUACCUGUGAAAUCUCCGAGCUUAACUCGGAACGGUCAAGUGAUACUGCUGUGCUAGAGUACAGAAGGGGCAAUCGGAAUUCUUGGUGUAGCGGUGAAAUGCGUAGAUAUCAAGAGGAACACCUGAGGUGAAGACGGGUUGCUGGGCUGACACUGACGCUGAGGCGCGAAAGCCAGGGGAGCAAACGGGAUUAGAUACCCGCGUAGUCCCUGAGCGGGCUGGCAAGGCGCAU